CAACUGAUGUUCAAUUACAAGGGAUAUUAAUCAGUCUCCGUGGACUAUACACUGUGCCUAGUUUCAUCCUCAGAGACUGAUGUGUAAGCUUAAAGUAAAGACAUCAAAUCAAAGUAUCAGCCAUCAAGAGGAAAAACAUUCAAAAUCAUAUUGUGAUACACAAGUCAAGCAAGUCUGACCAGCAUUUUGAUACAGGCCAAGAAAAAGCUGGAUACUUGAUUGGAAGGGUCGCACAAAAAACAUGGGUUAUCACUAGGGAAACAAGCUCGCAAUACAGUUCACUGUUAGGACAGCAAGCCAAAUACUUCUAAACUUAUUUGAAUCAUUUUUGCUGUUUAUUAUAAUUCAUCCAAUUGUCUUAUUAAAUAUAUAAAUUUAUAUAUAUACACAAUUCCUAA